AACAUUUCACUCUUAAUCUUUUCCACUGUCGCUUAUUCCCGGAGGAUUCGUUGCCGCCUCUCUUCUUCUCCGAUUUGCUUGUUCUCAUUUUUUCCAAAUUCCUAAAACUCUAAUUUCCAUACUACACUUGCUUCGUUCUUUCUUUAGAUUCGAUUCGAUAACUCUGUGCUGGAUUAAGGAGAAAAACCUCAUUAGUUUCUUAUAGACUCGGUGUUGAUGGUGGCGACUGGACCACUACUUGGUAUGGCCCGUGUUCUUUACUUGGUCGUGACGGAGCCAAUGAUUUAGACCGGAACUUGUCUGAUUAACAAUCACAUUUGUAAAUGUUGUCUGAUGGUGCCGCUGCCGCCAUGUAGGAAUCAGCCAAAUGUGGUCUUUUUAUUUGGUGCAUCUUACUAAACCUUCAUCUACAAGCUUCUUGGUUGUCUUAAUUUGUUAGAUUAUUAUAGUGUCGACAUCUUUUUAUCAUUAAGUUUCAAAGAAGAAGUUUUGAUCAGAGACGUAUUUUCGAAAUGGAUUCAUAUCUACUAGGUAAUGGAAUUUCGUAGGUGUUAUAAAGUCUGAUGUUUGUAUUUUAUUUUAACUAUAUCGUCCCCCUAAUAUACGGAACCUGGCUAUGUUUAACUCCUUUAAGAAUCUAUUGUCUAGUAGUAGUAUCAUUUAUGAGUUUGUGUGACCCUUGUUGAAUGAUUGUACUUUCGAUAGGUUUGUUUUUUUUUCUUUCUAAUACUAUCUUUAUCCAAGAGUUGGAAAAAAAUUACUUGCU
rnacentral:lncRNA from 1 species